UGUAAGAGCCAUCCUGCCAGU
rnacentral:siRNA from 1 species